rnacentral:rRNA from 1 species
UGGGGAAUAUUGCACAAUGGGCGCAAGCCUGAUGCAGCCAUGCCGCGUGUGUGAAGAAGGCCUUCGGGUUGUAAAGCACUUUCAGCGAGGAGGAAGGUGGUGAACUUAAUACGUUCAUCAAUUGACGUUACUCGCAGAAGAAGCACCGGCUAACUCCGUGCCAGCAGCCGCGGUAAUACGGAGGGUGCAAGCGUUAAUCGGAAUUACUGGGCGUAAAGCGCACGCAGGCGGUUUGUUAAGUCAGAUGUGAAAUCCCCGGGGCUCAACCUGGGAACUGCAUUUGAAACUGGCAAGCUAGAGUCUCGUAGAGGGGGGUAGAAUUCCAGGUGUAGCGGUGAAAUGCGUAGAGAUCUGGAGGAAUACCGGUGGCGAAGGCGGCCCCCCUGGACGAAGACUGACGCUCAGGUGCGAAAGCGUGGGGCAGCAAACAGGAUUAGAUACCCUGGUAGUCCACGCUGUAAACGAUGUCGAUUUGGAGGUUGUGCCCCUUGAGGCGUGGCUUCCGGAGCUAACGCGUUAAAUCGACCGCC